AUAUAUAGAGAGAGAGAGAGAGAGGUAUAGGUAAUCUGGGGUAUACCCUAGCCGUACCAUCCCCUCUCCCUCUCCUUGUGCACAGCCGCCGCCCUCACCUCUCCCCGUGCUCGCCGGAGUGCGGCCUUCGCCGGCAACCUCCCCUGAUCUCUCUCGCUGUCCCUACUUCAUUCUCUUCCUCUCCUUACAUAUAUGUAUAUAGAGAGAUAGAGAGAGGUGGUCCCUCCCCUCAAGUUAGAACCGGCGACGCCGUGUCACUGCGCCGCCGCCGUCGCGGGAUCUUGGUCGAGGUCCCCUCUUUGUACGGCCUUGCUCCCAGCCGCCGGCCCACCUCGCCCCCGCGCGCAUUUGUGUGCUGCCCCGACCGGGCUGCUGCUUUCUGGGUUGUCGCAGCCACCUCUCCGGCACCUCGCCGCCGGCUGGUGCGAGCCCUGGCUCCCCCUCUCCUAGACCAACCUCUUCCUCCCCCUUUAUCCCGUUCGGAUCAGCCUGAAACUCCCCAACCUUGGUGGCUGCUGCUGCCAUAGUUGUAAUCUGGGGUGUUUAGCUUGGUCGACUCACUGUUCCAGCCAUCCGGCGCCUCCGGCGACCCUCCGCGGGUGAGCACAGCACUUCUGAACAUAGGCCCUAGUCCGUGCUCUCCUAAAUUUCAGCAAUUCGGUGGUCGAAAAUUGGAGUUCUUUGGAGCGUAGCGAUCGUGAGGAAAAUUUCUACGUAGUGCUCACCUUGGUAGAGUGAUUCGGAAGAUCGGUGGAAUCGCGAAGCUAUCGGGGACUCAAAUCGGCUCGGUUGCGGCCUAUUCUUUGCUCUCCGACGGACGGCAAUUGUCAAAGUGACUCCCUUGCUGGUUCACUGCAGCCAGAGGUGACUUCUAGAACUAUCGUUUUGAGUCGAGGACUCGGGUACUUGGUGAGGUGGGUGCUCCAUUCCGAAGUUGGUAAAGUUGUAUCUUACUCGGUGUUUUUCCCGCUUGAUCUAUUUUAUUAAUUGAGUAGGACAACUUCUUUUGACUUCACAUUGGUCCAUAAUUUUACUCUACAUAUUGAUUGUCUUGUUGAUUAUCAUAUAGAUUUGUAGACUCUUGAUUGAGCUUUCUUGUAUCUCGUGUAUGACAUGUAGAGUAAGUGAUGAUCUAGUAGAAUAUCCACCUAUGUGUGAUUGGAUUUGA